GGAAUUUUAUUUACUUGGGGGAAAUUUAAUUGGUUUCAAAGGAUAAAAUUUGGUGAUAUAUUAAAUUUGUGGACUAAAUGUCAGUAAUUACUCUGUUAUGAGCUGUACCGUGUCCCCCAAAUCCAUAGGUUUAAGCCCUAAACCCCAAACUGACCAUAUUUGAAGGUAAGGCCACUUUAAGGAGUUAAUUAAGGUUAAUUGAAGUCAUAAAGGUGGGGUCCUGAUCCAAUAGGACUGGUCUCAUUAUAAGAAAAGUUAGCACUACGAUGGAUGUGUGAACACAGAGGGCAAGCAGGCAAGGACACAGAGAGAGGUGGCCUCUGCAAGACAGGACUCUUUUCAAGCUGAUAGCUGAAGAGGAAGCCAGAGGUUCCAAGUACAUGUUACUGCUGGUUUUGAAAUGGAGAGGAGCAUGUGAGAGGAUCACCAUCCCAUGCGAGGCUUCAAGAAAAUGGAAACUUUAGUCCACAACCAUAAGGGACAGGAUUCUGUUAAUAAUCUAAAUGAGCCUGGAGGUUUGCAUCCAAGCUGUGAGGGAAGAGGAAAAUACAUGCUGAUCAAUGAUUUGUCUGUAGACUUCAAGCCAUAUCUGCAGAACUUUUUUAAGCACAUUUUACCACCCUCAUCUGUUAUGUUCACUGUCCUAGUCCUGGAAUCAGCCAUCUCUUCAAGAACCCCUGCUUCCUUUAAUUGGAGCCAAGAUCUGGAUGCUAAGUAUACUCCUUGCUACUAGGCCCUCUUAGUGGACAAAAUUAGAAAAUAUAUGUAUGUAUACUAACACAAAUAUUUAUUCAUAUCAUCCAUCUAUAGUUAUACUAAGUAAGCUAAGCACAAGUUUAUACUUAUAGCACCAACUCUAAUUCAUUGUCACAUAGAUCAUACUAGUCUCCCAUUGCUUAUCUGUAGCUUCCCACUGCAACAAUGAGAAAUUUAGUUUCUACCAUUCAUCAUCUACUUACUGAAUUGAUUACAGUAUGUGAAUAUUACUAUCAGAAUUGUUGGGCUUCCCUGGUGGCUCAGACGGUAAAGAAUCUGUGUGCAAUGCAG